rnacentral:rRNA from 1 species
GGAUCCAGACUUUGAUCAUGGCUCAGGAUGAACGCUAGCUACAGGCUUAACACAUGCAAGUCGCGGGGCAGCAUGUCGGUUGCUUGCAACCGAUGAUGGCGACCGGCGCACGGGUGAGUAACGCGUAUCCAACCUGCCCUUCACCACGGAAUAAUCCAGUGAAAAUUGGUCUAAUACCGUAUGAGGUCAUACGAUGGCAUCAGAAUAUGACGAAAGGUUUGGCGGUGAAGGAUGGGGAUGCGUCUGAUUAGCUUGUUGGUGAGGUAACGGCUCACCAAGGCGACGAUCAGUAGGGGUUCUGAGAGGAAGGUCCCCCACAUUGGAACUGAGACACGGUCCAAACUCCUACGGGAGGCAGCAGUGAGGAAUAUUGGUCAAUGGGCGAGAGCCUGAACCAGCCAAGUAGCGUGCAGGAAGACGGCCCUAUGGGUUGUAAACUGCUUUUAUAUGGGGAUAAAGUGAGUUACGUGUAGCUUAUUGCAGGUACCAUAUGAAUAAGGACCGGCUAAUUCCUUGCCAGCAGCCGCGGUAAUACGGAAGGUCCAGGCGUUAUCCGGAUUUAUUGGGUUUAAAGGGACCGUAGGCCGCCCCUUAAGCGUGUUGUGAAAUGCCGCGGCUCAACCGUGGCACUGCAGCGCGAACUGGGGGGCUUGAGUGCACGCAACGCAGGCGGAAUUCGUGGUGUAGCGGUGAAAUGCUUAGAUAUCACGAAGAACUCCGAUUGCGAAGGCAGCUUGCAGGAGUGCGACUGACGCUGAAGCUCGAAGGUGCGGGUAUCGAACAGGAUUAGAUACCCUGGUAGUCCGCACAGUAAACGAUGGAUGCCCGCUGUGUGCCCUAGUGGUACGCGGCCAAGCGAAAGCGUUAAGCAUCCCACCUGGGGAGUACGCCGGCAACGGUGCAACUCAAAGGAAUUGACGG